rnacentral:rRNA from 1 species
CUUAGUAGCGAAUGGGUGAGUAACACGUACUUAACCUACCCCCAAGUUUGGGAUAACGUCUGGAAACGGACGCUAAUACCGAAUACGUAUUUAAAUCGCAUGAUUUAAAUAUAAAAGGAGCUUCGGCUUCGCUAGGGGAUGGGAGUGCGCUACAUUAGUUAGUUGGUAGGGUAAUGGCCUACCAAGACUAUGAUGUAUAGCGGGGCCGAGAGGCUGAUCCGCCACACUGGGACUGAGAUACGGCCCAGACUCCUACGGGAGGCAGCAGUAGGGAAUUUUCCACAAUGAACGAAAGUUUGAUGGAGCGACACAGCGUGCAGGAUGAAGGUCUUCGGAUCGUAAACUGCUGUUAUAAGGGAAGAAAAACUUUAGUAGGUAAUGACUAAAACUUGACGGUACCUUACCAGAAAGGGACGGCUAACUACGUGCCAGCAGCCGCGGUAAUACGUAGGUCCCAAGCGUUGUCCGGAUUUAUUGGGCGUAAAGCGAGCGCAGGUGGUUUCUUAAGUCUGAUGUAAAAGGCAGUGGCUCAACCAUUGUGUGCAUUGGAAACUGGGAGACUUGAGUGCAGGAGAGGAGAGUGGAAUUCCAUGUGUAGCGGUGAAAUGCGUAGAUAUAUGGAGGAACACCGGAGGCGAAA